rnacentral:rRNA from 1 species
AUUGAACGCUGGCGGCAUGCUUUACACAUGCAAGUCGAACGGCAGCGCGGGCUUCGGCCUGGCGGCGAGUGGCGAACGGGUGAGUAAUACAUCGGAACGUGCCCAGUAGUGGGGGAUAGCUCGGCGAAAGCCGGAUUAAUACCGCAUACGACCUGAGGGUGAAAGCGGGGGAUCUUCGGACCUCGCGCUAUUGGAGCGGCCGAUGGCAGAUUAGCUAGUUGGUGGGGUAAAGGCCUACCAAGGCGACGAUCUGUAGCUGGUCUGAGAGGACGACCAGCCACACUGGGACUGAGACACGGCCCAGACUCCUACGGGAGGCAGCAGUGGGGAAUUUUGGACAAUGGGCGAAAGCCUGAUCCAGCAAUGCCGCGUGUGUGAUGAAGGCCUUCGGGUUGUAAAGCACUUUUGGCGGGAACGAAAAGGACUGUGCCAAUACCACGGUUCGAUGACGGUGCCCGCAGAAUAAGCACCGGCUAACUACGUG